rnacentral:rRNA from 1 species
AGAAUGAACGUUGGCGGCGUGGAUUAGGCAUGCAAGUCGGACGGGCCGCAAGGCCAGUGGCGUAAGGGUGAGUAAGGCGACGGCAAUCAACCCCACGGUUGGGUAUAGCCGCGAGAAAUCGCGGGUAAUCCCCAGCGACGCACGGCGUCGGCAUCGACGCCCUGCCAAAGGCUCGCCGCCGUGGGACGAGCCGUCGUGGUAUUAGGUGGUUGGCGGGGUAACGGCCCACCAAGCCUGCGAUGCCUACCGGGCGUGCGAGCGUGGCCCGGCACACUGGGACUGAGACACUGCCCAGACACCUACGGGUGGCUGCAGUCGAGAAUCUUCGGCAAUGGGCGAAAGCCUGACCGAGCGACGCCGUGUGUGGGAUGAAGGCCUUCGGGUUGUAAACCACUGUCGUAGAGGAGGAAAUCAUCGGGGGUUCUCCCCCGGAGUUGACCUAUUCUAGGAGGAAGGACGGGCUAAGUACGUGCCAGCAGCCGC